rnacentral:rRNA from 1 species
GACGAACGCUGGCGGCGUGCUUAACACAUGCAAGUCGAACGGAAAGGCCCUGCUUUUGUGGGGUGCUCGAGUGGCGAACGGGUGAGUAACACGUGAGUAACCUGCCCUUGACUUUGGGAUAACUUCAGGAAACUGGGGCUAAUACCGGGUAGGAGCUCCUGCUGCAUGGUGGGGGUUGGAAAGUUUCGGCGGUUGGGGAUGGACUCGCGGCUUAUCAGCUUGUUGGUGGGGUAGUGGCUUACCAAGGCUUUGACGGGUAGCCGGCCUGAGAGGGUGACCGGCCACAUUGGGACUGAGAUACGGCCCAGACUCCUACGGGAGGCAGCAGGGGGGAAUAUUGCACAAUGGGCGGAAGCCUGAUGCAGCAACGCCGCGUGCGGGAUGACGGCCUUCGGGUUGUAAACCGCUUUCGCCUGUGACGAAGCGUGAGUGACGGUAAUGGGUAAAGAAGCACCGGCUACUACGUG